rnacentral:rRNA from 1 species
GCGGACGGGUGAUAUGCUGGGAAUUGCCAGUCGAGGGGAUACAGUUGGAACGACUGCUAUACGAUACGCCUACGGGGGAAGCAGGGACUUCUGCUUGCGCGAUUGGAUAUGCCAGGUGGGAUUAGCUAGUUGGUGAGUAAUGGCUCACAAGGCGACGAUCCCUAACUGGUCUGAAGGAUGAUCAGCACACUGGAACUGAACACGGUCCAGACUCCUACGGGAGGCAGCAGUGGGGAAUAUUGCACAAUGGGGGAAACCCUAAUGCAGCCAUGCCGCGUGUAUGAAGAAGGCCUUCGGGUUUGUAAAGUACUUUCAGCGGGGAGGAAGGUGUUGUGGUUAAUAACCACAGCAAUUGACGUUACCCGCAAAAAGCACCGGCUAACUCCGUGCCAGCAGCCGCGGUAAUACGGAGGGUGCAAGCGUUAAUCGGAAUUACUGGGCGUAAAGCGCACGCAGCGGUCUGUCAAGUCGGAUGUGAAAUCCCCGGGCUCAACCUGGGAACUGCACUCGAAACUGGCAGGCUAGAGUCUUGUAAGGGGGGUAGAAUUCCAGGUGUAGCGGUGAAUGCGUAAGAUCUGGAGGAAUACCGGUGGCGAAGCG